UUCAGUUUAUUCUGAUUGCAUCCCUGAGCCUUGCAAUUUCGUGUGUGUGCACGCGAGCAUACUUAAUUUUUAAGGCUGUAACAUACAGGAUGCGGUGAGACAAGAGUUCUCCAACGUAGAGGACAGAAUCAUUUUUACAGGGCAUUUGGCAAGUGUCUAUGAAAGUCUUGAAAUGUUUAUCUCCUUUGUCUUUGUCUUAGGAGUUGCAUUUCCAGGACCCUGUUCUAAGAAAACGAUCAGAGAGGCGCCUGAGUGGCUCGAAUCCUUACACCAUUUUAGAAAAAACAUGGAAGAAGGAGCCACGUUCAAUGUUUACGGUGAUUUUCUCCGGGAGAAGGGGGAUUCGGGGUGGUUUUGACCCCCUUCCCGUUUCCGUGCUGGCUUCGCUCUGUGUUUUAUGCUCGCACACGUGGCUGAGGUGGUGGCCCGGUCGGAGGCGAGAUUUGGCGUCUGUGGCGGGUGGAGGCUCCCCGGGACCCUUGAGACGCUGCGGAGCUGGUUCCUACGAGGCUUACACCGGCCCCCGGCGCACGGAGAGCCUCCGCCUGCUCACGCCUGUGCCGGGGGUGGACGCGAACCAGGAAUCAGGACCCCGAGGCCGCCCCUUCUCUCUCUGCACCUGGGCCCCCGGCGCAGGUGGGAUCCACGCCGCUGGGCACCUUCCGGUUUCCUGCCCUUGGUUCCCUGCUGCCUUGCGACUGCUUUUAGCUAAGCCUCCGGAGGCCACGGGGAGCCUGGGGGGAGUUGAGAGCCUCCCAGCUCCGGAGGCCCCAGCCCCUUCUGUGUGGGCGCAGGACAGCCAGGCACCUGACAGCCCCCAGGCAACCUCGUGUCCCGCGGGCAGGUGUUCCCGAGGGGGACUCCCAGGGGCGCUUGGGGGCGGACGGGCCGGAACCCUGUGCUCGAGGGACACGAUGUCCCUUCACACUUCAGGGCACUCAGUGCC